UAUGUAGGGGGCAAGCGUUGUCCGGAAUCAUUGGGCGUAAAGCGCGUGUAGGCGGCUCGAUAAGUCUGCUGUGAAAGUCCAGGGCUCAACCCUGGGAUGCCGGUGGAUACUGUCGAGCUCGAGUCCGGAAGAGGCGAGUGGAAUUCCUGGUGUAGCGGUGAAAUGCGCAGAUAUCAGGAGGAACACCGAUUGCGAAGGCGGCUCACUGGCCCGGUACUGACGCUGAGGCGCGAAAGCGUGGGGAGCAAACAGG
rnacentral:rRNA from 1 species